UGGGGAAUAUUGGACAAUGGGGGGAACCCUGAUCCAGCCAUGCCGCGUGUGUGAAGAAGGCCUUUUGGUUGUAAAGCACUUUAAGCGAGGAGGAGGCUACCGAGAUUAAUACUCUUGGAUAGUGGACGUUACUCGCAGAAUAAGCACCGGCUAACUCUGUGCCAGCAGCCGCGGUAAUACAGAGGGUGCAAGCGUUAAUCGGAUUUACUGGGCGUAAAGCGCGCGUAGGUGGCCAAUUAAGUCAAAUGUGAAAUCCCCGAGCUGAACUUGGGAAUUGCAUUCGAUACUGGUUGGCUAGAGUAUGGGAGAGGAUGGUAGAAUUCCAGGUGUAGCGGUGAAAUGCGUAGAGAUCUGGAGGAAUACCGAUGGCGAAGGCAGCCAUCUGGCCUAAUACUGACACUGAGGUGCGAAAGCAUGGGGAGCAAACA
rnacentral:rRNA from 1 species